CACGUAGGGCGCAAGCGUUGUCCGGAAUUAUUGGGCGUAAAGAGCUCGUAGGCGGUUCGCUAAGUCGGGUGUGAAAACUCUGGGCUCAACUCAGAGACGCCACCCGAUACUGGCGUGACUCGAGUCCGGUAGGGGAGCAUGGAAUUCCUGGUGUAGCGGUGAAAUGCGUAGAGAUGUGGAGGAACACCGAUUGCGAAGGCAGCCCCCUGGGUCAACACUGACGCUCAUGCACGAAAGCGUGGGGAGCAAACAGG
rnacentral:rRNA from 1 species